UCCCUGAAUGUAUAAGCAAAAUGUAGGGUAUGUGUACAUAUGAGCAGCUUUCUGGGAGGAUGUCAAGGGAAGUUUGAGAAGCUAAAAAUAAGUAUUAGGGGCACCUGGCUGGGUCAGUCGGGGGAGCAUGCAACUCUUGGUCUUGGGGUCAUGAGUUUGAGCCCCAUGUUGGAUGUAAAGAUUACUUAAAUAAAUAAACUUUAACAAUAAAUAAAUAAAUACAGUAAGCACUAAACUCAUUAAAUUUAGUAUAUAAAAAAAAAUACCAGGGGUGCCUGGCUGGUUCAGUCAGUACAGUGUGCAACUUUAAAAAAAAAAAAUUUUUUUUUAAUUUACAAAGUAUGCAGUACCCAGCAAGAUACUGUCAUUCGUGACCGUGUGACCUUUGGUAGGUUACUUAAUCUUUUUGAGGCUCAUCUUCCUCUUCUGUUCAAUAGGGAUCAGUAGGUAGGACCUACCUACCGCAUGGGUUUACUGUGGAUCUCCCUCUCUUUAACGCAGACAGAAGUUUUGCAUUGGAGCUAAUCUACAAUUUAACAGUUCUUUCGAGGGCCAUGUUAUAUAUUUUGUUUCACAAAUUUGGUCCUUAAUUCAGAAAAAAAUUAAUUGAAAAGGGACUGAUUUGAAAAUUCUAUACAAUUAUAGUUAUUAAAUGAUUUGCAAACUAGGUUUCCUGUUCAUAUUUUGCUAUAUUUAAUCUGGGUUUUUAAACUUCUCAGGAGGUCUCAGACUGCAAUAACUAAUGCUAAGGCAGCUAACUUUCUGAUAUCUUCGGGUCAAGCUAAUAUUUUAAUGAGAAAAAUUCCUGCAUUUUUCAAAGAACUGGGGUUGAAGCAGAAGUAAAUUCCAAUGAGCGAGUGUACAACUGGGCAGUCUAAUGAGAGGUAAUAAUUUAAAACCGUUUCUAGGGGCUCCUGGCUGGCUCAGUCUGUAGAAUGUGCAACUCUCGAUCUCGACCUUGUAAGUUUGAGUUCCACGUUGGAUGUAGAGAUUACUUCAAAAUAAAAUCUUAAAAAAUAAA